UCAGAAAUGAAGAUGCUUAAAAGGUGCGUUUGAAAAAAAAAGUCCAUCAUAUACUCGCAUGCUAAUAAUACACGCUGCUGAUAGUGCAUGGACAUAUUCCUAUGGACACUUGCUCACCGGGUUAUAUGAAGGGAGACAUUCGGGACAAUUUUCAGUGGGAGAUUUCUGUUUGUGCUCUGGUGCAUCUCAGCAUAUCUCCGGGCCUUCCCUCGGCCAGCCUCGUGCCAAGAGUGCAUUAUUAUCAUGAGAGCUGCCUGGGAGGAUAUCCGGCGGCGGAGCGGGAACGACACAAACCCAAAAGAUUCAGCUUCAAAGACACGGUACACCAAAACUACAUUUAUUCCUCGUUUUUCACUCUUCCCCAGAAGUGCAUUCAAGAUUGUACAUGUGCACAAGCCAGUGGGCUUGAAAUACAACAUCCAACUAACACAAACAGAACCCUCAUCCAGACACUGUACUCAAAACUGAGUCAACUGUCCAAAGUCAGUCAUAAAUA